ACCUUUCUCCAAACAACGUUGCCACACGCGGAGAGCACGGAGAUUUCUGGGGCUUUGGAGGGAAUCGUGAGCGGGCGGGAGGAGGCCGGGGACCACACAGAACUGAGAUCCAGAGAGAUGAUGACUUUGCCCAUAGACCAAACAAAGAAAUACAUGUUUCAGUCCUGUGUCCUCCUGCUAUGUGUGUCCGGAAUUGGUGGGUUCUUGGUCUCACUGACUUCAAGAAUGAAGCUGCGGACCCUCGCGGACCGUGUGUGAAUGCCUGCUCUGUGAGCCCUCAGAAUCUACUGGCUGAAUGAGUGCGUGGAGGAAAUGUGCUCAGAGCUGCUGUGUGUCAUCCUGUGUUUGAAGUGCUCCUGCAGCUAUCAUUCAUCCAGUUAAGAAUUUGAAGAAGUGUGUGCACAAAGCUCACAGGAUAUCGGCCAUGUUAAUGAGUCUGAUGUUGCUAGUAUCACAGGCACCGGAAAAUAUGCACAUUAUGCUGGAGCAUUAGAAUGCAACAGAAAGAGCCCUGGGCUUGGAGUAUGCAGAACUGGUUCUUGUUACAACUCCUCUUACUAGUGGGCUCUGGAAGAAAACACAUUGAAUUCAUGAUCAUGGUUAACCUUUGGAGAGAGAGAGGAGACCAGGAUGAAGGAGCCAGUCGAAGAUCCUGUUCAAGUGUACACUGAGCCAGCAGGUUCACCAGAAAGCUAUUGAGCGUUUGCUGGAACACAUUAUGCAGGGUGAAUUUCUUCUGGAAUGUUGCCAAGGAUUUUUUAUGCUUCUGUGGCAGGCAUUUCUUGAACAUUGUCAUUUAGCCAAGCAAAGAAGAUUUUCUUAAAGGAUAGAAAAUGUUUAAAAAUUUUUGUUUGUUUGAAGAUAGGUUAAAUGGCUAUAUGAUCUCAGGAUAAGACAGAGAAAAUCACUUAUUUCUCUAAGUGAUCUGAUUAGGUUAGUGAUGUUUUGCCUUUAAACAGAUUCAUCAUUAUUCCUAAAGUAUUGCUGUAUUAAUACUGUCUUCUAGAAAGUAUCCACCAGUGCCUACUUUUCUUCGAUAUCAUUAGCUGUUUUUCGAAACUGAAUUUGCUCUUCAGAGAUUUCUCAUAUGUUUGCGUAUAAGGAACUACUGGUAAUAGCCAAGAAAAUUUGGAGGUGCAGAGAACAUGCUGAAACAGAAUUUUUCACUUUCAAUUCUAGAACUAUGCCAUAAAAAAAAA
rnacentral:lncRNA from 1 species